UGCCCCCGUAUUUGUUCGUGCUCGGUCGAUCCUCCCACCCUUUGUGUACCUACCUCUGUUGCUUUGGCGGGCCGCGGUCCUCCGCGGCCGCCCCCCUCCCCGGGGGGGUGGCCAGCGCCCGCCAGAGGACCAUCAAACUCCAGUCAGUAAACGAUGCAGUCUGAAAAACAUUUAAUAAACUAAAACUUUCAACAACGGAUCUCUUGGUUCUGGCAUCGAUGAAGAACGCAGCGAAAUGCGAUAAGUAAUGUGAAUUGCAGAAUUCAGUGAAUCAUCGAAUCUUUGAACGCACAUUGCGCCCUUUGGUAUUCCGAAGGGCAUGCCUGUUCGAGCGUCAUUACAACCCUCAAGCUCUGCUUGGUAUUGGGCACCGUCCUUUGCGGGCGCGCCUCAAAGACCUCGGCGGUGGCGUCUUGCCUCAAGCGUAGUAGAACAUACAUCUCGCUUCGGAGCGCAGGGCGUCGCCCGCCGGACGAACCUUCUGAACUUUUCUCACCGUUGACCUCGGAUCAGGUAGGGAUACCCGCUGAACUUAAGCCUCUCAAUAAGCGGAGGAACCUC
rnacentral:rRNA from 1 species